rnacentral:rRNA from 1 species
AUCGAGCUAAGACCAAAAGUCUCCGAACGUGCAUGCUUUCCAUAUGCGCGUAUACGUGAGCCGCACAGCAAGUUGCACACAUGUGGUGGUGGUGGCCGUCAGCCGUGCUUUUUUGGCAGACAGUGGUCUGUAGCUUGCUGUGCGUUGAGGGGGGAUAGGUGACGUACUGGGCUAGUUAGAAAGGUACGUCGCUAAUGCCUAUUCUCUCGUUAUUCGCAAAAACGGUGUCCUCUUUGGCGUCUUUGCCUCACCUAGCUAUUGCCUGGACCGUCGGUAGCGAUGAAAGGUGGGGAGAAAGCUCCUCUUUCCGGGUCGAGUAGACUUAAUGAGCCUCAGCUAGGAGGCCGCCAAAACCCAAACACAACCAGUCUUAUGUUUGAAGUUGUAGAAGGUGUUUCUAACCCUUGUUUGGGUGGAUCGUCUUCAAAUCGAGUUA